rnacentral:rRNA from 1 species
UACAGAGGGGGCAAGCGUUAUUCGGAAUUAUUGGGCGUAAAGAGCUUGUAGGCGGUUUGUCGCGUCUGACGUGAAAAUCCGAGGCUCAACCUCGGACUUGCGGUGGGUACGGGCAGACUAGAGUGUGGUAGGGGAGACUGGAAUUCCCGGUGUAGCGGUGAAAUGCGCAGAUAUCAGGAGGAACACCGAUGGCGAAGGCAGGUCUCUGGGCCACUACUGACGCUGAGAAGCGAAAGCCAGGGGAGCAAACGGG